ACCCCUGUCACAUUGUUGCCACCUGCUCCCUGAUUCCCCCAGCAGUCCCCAAAGCUCCCCAUCGCUUGGAUUUUGCUCUCCAUCCCUGCAGGAUGUCUGCAUUUGUUCCAAAAGAGCUAUGGCUGGCACAGACGGAGAGGAGGAGACGGACGUCGAUACACAGACUGAUAGAGAAGAAGCCAUGGAAGUGGACGGAGAGGAUACUGGAGAGGAAGAGAUGGAUGUGGAUAUGUACGAGACAGAGGAAGAGAUGGAGGUGGAAACGAAAGAUUAUAUUGAAGAGAUGGAUAUUGAUCUAAAAGACAAGGAGGAAGACAUGGUCUUGGGAUGAAGACCGAUGCCAGCAGCAGAACAGGACUUAGGGACAUCACAGACACAGAUGCCACCCUGCUGUACAUACGUUUUACAGUUGUUGUGUUCAGGAUAGAGGUUUUAGAGUUUGUUUAAGUUGUCUGUAAAUACGUUUCAUAGAGUUUUGUUAGAGCUGUUCUCAGGUAAAUAGGUUCUAUAGUUUGUUGUUGUUGUUGUUGUUGUUGUUGUUGUUGUUGUUGUUGUUGUUACCAAUAUUCUUACAGUGUAAAUAUGUGGUGUAGUUCAUUCUUGUUCCUUUUCUUCUACAGAUAAACAGUGUUUGAUUUUCACACCCCAGUUCUCUUUGCAUUUUCUUCGGGCACAUUUGCAAAGCUGUGGGUUGUUUCGGGAACAAUGUUUGCAGGACUCUAAAAAGAGUAUCAAAACCGCUCUGCCACAAUCUCAGCUGCUGCUGCUGCCCCAAAAAGCACUGGCUGGCUUUGCUCACACAAUCACAUGAUUGUGGUGUCAUUUCUACCACACCACAGGACAGCGAUGUUUUCCCUCUUCUCCUGGAAAUACCUACAGCACUUGUGGGUAGCA
rnacentral:lncRNA from 1 species